rnacentral:tRNA from 1 species
ACCAGGAUGGCUGAGUGGUUAAGGUGUUGGACUUACAUCCAAUGGAUAAAUGUCUGUGUGGGUUCGAACCCCACUCCUGGUA